GAUGACCCCGAGGGCGCCUUUGUCCCCCCAGAGUUCGAUGACACGGGGAACACCUUUGAGGCCCACAUCUACUCCCUGGGGGCCACGCUGAAGGCCGCCCUGGAGUACCCCGCGGGGCCCGAGCCGGGGCCCAGGCUGAGCGGCGACCUGGAGGCCCUGCUGAGCCAGAUGCAGGCGGAGGACCCUGGGGACCGGCCGGAACUGCAGAGCGUCAUCGCGCUGUGCGAGCAGAAGGUGCCGCUGGCCUCGUCCUGCCGCCUGUGCCGGACCCUGUCGGCCGCGGGAAGGAGGGUGCUGUCCAUCGAGUCCUUCGGCGCCUUUCAAGAUGUCAGCGAGAGCGCCUGGCGGGGGAGACCCAGGAGGCAGCCUGGGGACCCCGGGAACCCGCCCAGCACA